UAGUAGCCUUCAACCCGUGGCUCUAGACAUCCUGCACCCUCUUCAGAUCAACAAGUCUAUAUUGAUUUGCACUUUGCGACCAUCCUUGUGUUGUCUUAACAGCUCACAUUUAUCUAGUGAGAUUGAUAUUUGUUUUGUUUUUUAGAUCCUCACAACAAAUUUUCAUGGAAGUGACAGAGGAAUCACCACAUUUGGACUCAAACACCUCAGUCCCCAAUGUGCUACAGGAAGAAAUAGAAAUGGCACUUAAGAAGAUAAAGUCAGGAAGAGCAGCUGAACCAGACAAAGUAGACACAGGUAAUCUCUGCUUAAGGAGGUACAAUCUUAAAAGCAUUGAUGGAUCAUUUUACAAAGAUAGCUCAAAGCUCAAAGAAGAUGAGGGAACAAUCAUAGAUGACAUUAAUACUGACAAAAAAAAAACAGUUGAGUGAACAUCAGUAACUACUAACUCAUAUAUCUACUUUCUCAUUUUCAUAAAAUAUUUAUGAG
rnacentral:lncRNA from 1 species